GCCCUGACAGAUUCUCCUGUCAGGGGUCACAGGAACGCAAAGAUUGCUGUCUGGAUCUUUGCUGACCAUGCUGUCCCGGGUGGUACUUUCUUCUGCUGCCACAGCGGCCCCCUCUCUGAAGAAUGCAGCCUUCCUAGGUCCAGGGGUAUUGCAAGCAACAAGGACCUUUCACACAGGGCAGCCACACCUUGCCCCUGUACCACCUCUUCCUGAAUAUGGAGGAAAAGUUCGUCAUGGACUGAUCCCUGAGGAAUUCUUUCAGUAUCCUUAUCCUAAAACUGGUGUAACAGGCCCUAUAUGCUUGGAACUGGGCUUAUCUUGUAUGCUUUAUCCAGAGAAAUAUAUGUGAUUACUGGAGAGACCAUCACUGGCCUAGCAGUAAUAGGGUUAUAUAUCUUUGGAGUUAAAAAAUGUGGUCCUCCUGUUGCAGCAUUUGCUGAUAAACUCAAUGAGCAAAACCUUGCCCAACUGGAAGAGGCAAAGCAGGCUUCCAUCAAACAAAUCCAGGAUACAGUUGAUGCAGAGAAGGCACAGCAGGCACUGGUUCAGAAGCGCCAUUACCUUUUUGAUGUGCAGAGGAAUAACAUUGCUCUGGCUUUGGAGGUUACUUACUGGGAACGACUGCAUAGGGUAUAUAAGGAAGUAAAGAAUCGUCUGGACUAUCAAAUAUCUGUGCAGAACAUGAUGCGUCAAAAGGAACAAGAGCACAUGAUAAAUUGGGUGGAGAAGCACGUGGUGCGGAGCAUCUCUGCACAGCAGGAGAAGGAGACAAUUGCCAAGUGCAUUGCUGGCAAAGAAGCUGGUGGCAAAGAAGGCUCAAGCCAGUUAUGUAAAUGUAUUUAUUCCAAUUGAGACAGCUAGAAAGUUGACUGACUAAAUGGAAACGACUUUAUUUGACAAAAUCUUUCUGUAUUGAUGUCUACUGAAGUUAUGGUUUACCUCUUCUAAAAAUGAAAAGUUUGUUUUAAAUAGUGAGAGAAUGAAAUCUCUAUCUUCCAGUCAAUUAUUUCUCAUCCUUCUUACUCUGCAUUUGAGUUAUUCUGUGAUCACGUCUGUAUAAGCAGUUUGCCUUUAUAAAAACUUGCUGCCUGACUAAAGAUUACCACAUUAUAGUUUAAAUUUGUAAUUAGUUCUACCAUCUUGCAAUAAAGUGAGGUUUUUCAAGUUGUAUAAGUCUCUGAAAUACUCAGCUUUUGUCAUAUAGGUCAAAAUUAAAGAUGUCAUUGAACUACUGUCUUGUUUAUGAGACUAUCCAGUGGUGAAUUAUUUCUGGCUGAUAUAUAUAAAGUUUUGCAGUACUCUUAAAAUAACCAAAUGGAAUAUUGUAUAUUAAAAAAAAGUUAAAUGCAAAACAAAACAAAAAUAUAACAGGAACAAAAACUGAAGAAAAUAAAAUAGCAUAUUUAUAACAUCUAUAAGAGGGCAUGGUAGACGUAAUAGAAUAUGACAAUGAGAAAACAUUUGCAUAGUAAACAUACGAGUCUGUUUUUUUCUUUGGAGACAGAGUCUCAUUCUCUUGCUGGAAUGCAGUGGCGCAAUCUCAGCUCACUGCAACCUCCACCUCCCAGGUUCAAGUGAUUCUCGUGCCUCACCCUCCCUAGUAGCUGGGAUUACAGACAUGCAUCACCACACCUGGCUAACUUGUAUUUUUAGUAGAGAUGGGUCUCGAUAUGUUGGCCAGGCUGCCUUGAACUCCUGGCUCCAAGUGACCUGCCCGCCACAGCCUCCUGAAAUGCUGGGAUUAUAAGCGUGAGCCACUGUGCCCAGCCUUUGGAUUCUCUAUUCUGUCCCAUUGAUCUAUGCAUCUGACCUUCCAUCAGUACCACACCAUGUUGAUUACUGUAGCAAUAUAGUAAGCCUUAAUAUCGGCCAGAGUGAUUCUUUCUACUUUAUCUUUUUUUAAAAAAGAUUAUUUUAGCUUUUCUAGGACUUGUGCCUUUCCCUAUAAGUUUUAGAGUAAGUUUGGUUAUAUCUACAAAAACCCUUGCUGGGGUUUUGACAGGAAUGACAUUAAGCCUAUAGAUCAAUUUGCAGAGAAUCGACGUCUUUACUAAUAUACUGUGCCUUCCAAUUCAUGAACACAGGGUCAGACGUGGUAACUCACACCUGUAAUGCAUGCACUUUGGGAGGCUAAGGCAGGUGUAUCACUUAAGGUCAGGAGUUUGGGACCAGCCUGGCUAAAAUGGUGAAACCCUGCUUCUACUGAACAAACACACACACACACCCUCAAAUUCAUGAACAUAGUAGUCUCUCCUUUUUUUUUUUUUUUUUUUUGAGACAGAAUCUCGCUCUGUUGUCCAGGGUGGAGUGCAGUGGUGUGAUCUCAGCUCACUGCAGCCUCCACCUCUUGAGUUCAAGUGAUUCUCAUGCCUCAGUCUCCUGAGUAGUUGAGAUCACAGGUGUGUGCCACCACGCCUGGCUAAUGUUUGUAUUUUUAGUAGAGACGGGAUGUCACCAUCUUGGCCAGGCUGGUCUUGAAACUCCCGAUUUCAAGUGAUCCACCCGCCUUUGCCUCCUAAAAUGCUGAGAUUACAGGCAUGAGCCACCUUGCCCAGCCUACCAAAUUUUAUUAUUAUUUAUUUAUUAGCAAAAGCUGGGCUCUCUUCCCUUAAUCAAAUCAGAGUUGUUUUUAUUUAAAUUGAUUUUGUUUCUUUUCAAGAUUAAAGUCAGAACCUUUACUGUUUUCCAUAUAGUGUCUCUAGUUUGUUUAUAAUUGAAUUUAGCUGGAAACUCUUAUCCUUUCACUUUAAUCACCCUUAAUGUCUCUGGAAAAAUAAUUUAAUGUACAACAGGCACAGUGAUUAAUCUCUGUUCAUUAUAGUGAUCUGUUCACGUAGCCUUGUGUUUUUGAAUUGUUUUUCUAGUUAAAAAUGCUAAGGAAGAUAAAUCACUAUUAAAUUAUUUGCUUCCAUUUCUUAUGGGUGCUAUUACAAGUCUUAAAUGAAACUUCUAAACAAUAUUACUGUAAAGUAAAAUUUGAUUCUUUUUUGACGUGUGAAUAAUGACACUUAGAAAGUAGCUAGAGUCACAGUAACACUUGAUGGGAACAUCUGGCAUACCUAUUUAGAAGUUUUUAUGGAAUUAAUAUUUUUGCAAACUUAGUCUGAUUUAAGUAAAUUAUUUUAAUAGUUUUCAGACAAAAUGAACACAAGGAAACAGGCAUGGCUGAAGUAUACAUCCAUGGAGAAGAAAGCAAGAGCUCAGACUUUAAAACAUAAUAUUGCUGCUUAGGUUUUGUGGCAUUUUUUAAGUCCACAUACAUAGAGUACUUGUUGAAAACAUAAAUAUACUAAAUAUGUGUGGGGAAAGCAUAAAGAAGCUAAGGCAUAGAUCAUUAAGUGAUCAAAUUAUAGUACCUCUCUUUUUUAUUUUGAGACAGUUUUGCUCUGCACCCAGGCUAGAGUGCAGUAGCGUGAUCUCGGCUCACUGCAACCUCCUCCUCCUGGGUUCAAGUGAUUCUGGUGCCUCAGCCUCCUGAGUAGCUGGGAUUACGGGCACAUGCCACCAUACCUGGCUAAUUUUUUGUAUUUUUAGUAGAGAUUGGGUUUUACCAUGUCGGCCAGGCUGGUCUCAAACUUCUGACCUCAAGCUAUCUACCCACCUCAGCCUCCCAAAGUGCUGAGAUACAGGCAUGAGCCACCUUGCCCAGCCUAAUUAUAGUAUCACUGUUUUAGUCUAGAAUUUAUUUUGCCAUCAAACUCAACACCUGGAGCACACCAGGAAGCCAGCAUAGAGAGCCACUGAGCAGCUAAAAUGACCUCUAUGAAGUUCAUGCUCACAAGUGUUCAGAUAGGUCCAGGCUUUUACUCAGAGCUUUCCUCUGAAUUGACCCACAGUUCUUUCAAGCUUGAAUAUAUAGCUUCUGGUGCCACAGAACAUUAAAAACAUUAGACGCAGAAGUUUUGGUUUUUUUGUUUGUUUGUGAGACAGGGCCUCACUAUGCCACCCAUGCUGAAGUGCAGUGGUGUGAUCUUGGUUUACUGCAACCUGUACUCCCGAGCUCAAGCAAUCCUCCCACCUCGGCCUCCCAAAGUGCUGGGAUUACAGGCAUGAGCCACCAUGCCUGGCCUAGAAGCAGAAGUUUGUUUGUUUGUUUGUUUUGGAGACAGAGUUUUGCUCUUGAUACCCAGGCCGGAGUGCAAUGGCACGAUCUCGGCUCACUGCAACCUCCGCCUCCUGGGUUCAGGCAAUUCUCCUGCCUCAGCCUCCUGAGUAGCUGGGAUUACAGGCAUGAGCCACCAUGCCCAGCUAAUUUUUUGUAUUUUUAGUAGAGACGGGGUUUCACCAUGUUGACCAGGAUGGUCUCGAUCUCUUGACCUCAUGAUCCACCCCCCUCGGCCUCCCAAAGUGCUGGGAUUACAGGCGUGAGCCACCACUCCCGGCUGAAGCAGAAGUUUUUGAUGUGCCCAAUAGGAAGAAAGAAACAGGAAAAUCUAUAAACAGAAGACAUAAGAACUUAAAGUUUAGACUACUUACAAGACAAGGAGACAUAUGCAUCUCAAUGGUCCCUAACAGAUUUUAAAUAUAAUAAACUGAUGCUGCUGUUGACAGUCCUGAGUUAUGACUGAAACGUUAAUGUUCAUUCAGUCUAUUCCAUCUGACUGAUUAGGAAUUGAUAAUUUUAGGUAGACUUCUAAAAAUAUGGAUAAAGUAGAAUAAAAUUUGAUACCUCAAAUAACACUUAAUAUUUACUGGGGGCUUACCAUGUACUAGAAAUUAUUCUGAAAGUUCAACACGUUUAGAGGAGGUUAGCUUCAAUGAUCUGGAAAAAUUCAAUUAUAUGAGACAUUUCAGUCCUCAGAGGUACUGGGUAAGGCAUCAUCAUGUUAUUACAGUUUUCCAGCAUCCUGUCAAAGCUUGCACUUACCUAUAGGGACAAAGGGGGAGUCUCUAGAUUUCCUGAUUAGUCGGGAUAAUUGGCUUUCAUCCUCAUCUGUUGACCACGGGUUAUCUGAAGACAUUCUUUUCUGUAGUAACAAUAGGAUAUAAAUGUGGUUGCCGUGAAUCAUUAAAAAUAAUUUGUCUUCCCUCUCCCAUCACACUCUCGAUUAUGUGUUCUUUGUCUUCAUUUGUUUGAUAAGCCCAUCUGCUCAACUGAAAAAAGCAAUUGUCUUUCCUUCACACUUUUCAUUACAGAAUUUUUUCAUUUUGCAGGGGAAGGGAAUAAGAAAAAAAAUAGAGAGAAAAAAUGAUAAUUAGAUUUCGUGAAUACAGAGUAAAAACACAGAUCAUAGUUCUGUUAUUCAGUCUCCUUUCACUGCUCAGCAUUUGAGAUCUUUGGGAACCUCAGGACUUCUUCCACAAGCACUGUAUUUGAAGAACACAGUUUCUUUUUAAACUAUCAUUUUAGAGAAGUAUGGCAGUGCCAACAUAGGGAAAAAUACUUCCAGAUUUACAGGUAUCCGGAGAGUGAUCACUCCAACUCUGCAGAAUGUGCAGGGCAUUAUAAAGUCAUUCAGAUAUUUACCAAGCACCUCCUGUGUGCCAGUUACUAUGCUCAACAAUGGAUUCCUUGUCCAGCCUGGCUUAUCUACAUAGGAUGAAUGAAGAAACUUGCAAAAGCAACCAUAAUCACAACAGGUUUAGCAGCACCUGAGUCUGUUCCCUGUGCAACCUAUUGUGUUCACCCCAGAAUUCAAAUACAGCGGCUUCAUCCUAUGAAUGAGCCUUCAUCAGAAAACGUAAGUGUAAAAAUACCUGUGUCGUACCGGCUGUCUCCUGAUGUUCCUUCAGCAAGAGGCUGUAGAUCAGAACAGGUGUUUGUUGUAAGGCAGGACACAGUGAUGUGCAAUUUCCAACUAACUGAUAAUAGGAAAGCCCAGAAACACGCCCCAGGGGGCUGGGGGCGUGGUCAGCUGGUAUUGGCCAAGACCGCCAGCAUCCUGCCAGAAACUCACCUGGGCCACAAACUAGGCUCUCAAAGCCAACAUUAAGAAAAACAUGAAGGCUUUGGAAGAAGAUGCCUUUACUUAAGUUUGCCUUUACAAGGGAGCUCCUGACUUCCCUCUGAGACUGUGAGUCUUAGUACCUGACUCCUGAGCCCACAAUUGAGGGGAAAGAGGGCACAGGGUCACAACACUGGGCUUGGAGGGGAAGGGGAACGGACAGCCAUCAGAGGCCAGGAUUCUUGCCAUUCUUCAGAAACGCGCGCUAGCCGGAGGAGAGGUGCACGCACUGCAGCUGGAAUCUCCGACUGGGGCAAUGAGAGCUCAUCACCGCUCACCUGGCGGUGGGGCCGCUGCAGGUGCGCCUCCUGCAAAGCCUUGAGCUGCACGCGCACCCGGGGAAGGACGCGAUGUUGUGGCACCUGCGGCCAAUCCCUGCGCCUGCGCGUAAGACCUGAGUGGGGCAGUGGAGACCCGAGAGAGGCUGUGGCUCUUGAGGCGGGCGGGUGUUGGACGUGGCCUUCACUUCAGUUCUGACCUCAUGGCCUUGGGGCCCCUUGAGACUCUGGAGAACGCAUUGCUCACCGCCUCCCUCCAACUGCAGCCAUGUGGACCUCGAGAUGAGGGCGGAGGUCCAGGUAGGGUUCAUGGUUUUUCCCUUGUAAUUUAAUGUUUAAAUGAUUUAGACUUACAAAAAAAGUCCCCAGAAUAGUACAAAGAACUACGUGUCUGGUACCUACCUUUUCCUUUAUUAACAUGUUUCUUUCUUUAAAAAAUAGUUUUGGCGAACCA